rnacentral:rRNA from 1 species
UUUUAUGAGAGUUUGAUCCUGGCUCAGGACGAACGCUGGCGGCGUGCCUAAUACAUGCAAGUCGAACGCUUCUUUUUCCACCGGAGCUUGCUCCACCGGAAAAAGAGGAGUGGCGAACGGGUGAGUAACACGUGGGUAACCUGCCCAUCAGAAGGGGAUAACACUUGGAAACAGGUGCUAAUACCGUAUAACAAUCGAAACCGCAUGGUUUUGAUUUGAAAGGCGCUUUCGGGUGUCGCUGAUG